rnacentral:rRNA from 1 species
AGAGUUUGAUCCUGGCUCAGGACGAACGCUGGCGGCGUGCUUAACACAUGCAAGUCGAACGGUGAAGUCCCUUCGGGGGCGGAUCAGUGGCGAACGGGUGAGUAACACGUGGGCAAUCUGCCCCUCACUGUGGGAUAACUCCGGGAAACCGGGGCUAAUACCGCAUAUGAAGCCUGGCGGCAUCGCCGGGUUUGGAAAGUUUUUCGGUGAGGGAUGAGCCCGCGGCCUAUCAGCUUGUUGGUGAGGUAAUGGCUCACCAAGGCGACGACGGGUAGCCGGCCUGAGAGGGCGACCGGCCACACUGGGACUGAGACACGGCCCAGACUCCUACGGGAGGCAGCAGUGGGGAAUAUUGGGC